UGAGUUUGAUCAUGGCUCAGGAUGAACGCUGGCGGCGUGCCUAAUACAUGCAAGUCGAGCGAACAGACAAGGAGCUUGCUCCUUUGACGUUAGCGGCGGACGGGUGAGUAACACGUGGGUAACCUACCUAUAAGACUGGGAUAACUUCGGGAAACCGGAGCUAAUACCGGAUAAUAUUUCGAACCGCAUGGUUCGAUAGUGAAAGAUGGUUUUGCUAUCACUUAUAGAUGGACCCGCGCCGUAUUAGCUAGUUGGUAAGGUAACGGCUUACCAAGGCGACGAUACGUAGCCGACCUGAGAGGGUGAUCGGCCACACUGGAACUGAGACACGGUCCAGACUCCUACGGGAGGCAGCAGUAGGGAAUCUUCCGCAAUGGGCGAAAGCCUGACGGAGCAACGCCGCGUGAGUGAUGAAGGUCUUCGGAUCGUAAAACUCUGUUAUUAGGGAAGAACAUACGUGUAAGUAACUAUGCACGUCUUGACGGUACCUAAUCAGAAAGCCACGGCUAACUACGUGCCAGCAGCCGCGGUAAUACGUAGGUGGCAAGCGUUAUCCGGAAUUAUUGGGCGUAAAGCGCGCGUUGGCGGUUUUUUAAGUCUGAUGUGAAAGCCCACGGCUCAACCGUGGAGGGUCAUUGGAAACUGUAAAACUUGAGUGCAGAAGAGGAAAGUGGAAUUCCAUGUGUAGCGGUGAAAUGCGCAGAGAUAUGGAGGAACACCANUGGCGAAGGCGACUUUCUGGUCUGUAACUGACGCUGAUGUGCGAAAGCGUGGGGAUCAAACAGGAUUAGAUACCCUGGUAGUCCACGCCGUAAACGAUGAGUGCUAAGUGUUAGGGGGUUUCCGCCCCUUAGUGCUGCAGCUAACGCAUUAAGCACUCCGCCUGGGGAGUACGACCGCAAGGUUGAAACUCAAAGGAAUUGACGGGGACCCGCACAAGCGGUGGAGCAUGUGGUUUAAUUCGAAGCAACGCGAAGAACCUUACCAAAUCUUGACAUCCUUUGACAACUCUAGAGAUAGAGCCUUCCCCUUCGGGGGACAAAGUGACAGGUGGUGCAUGGUUGUCGUCAGCUCGUGUCGUGAGAUGUUGGGUUAAGUCCCGCAACGAGCGCAACCCUUAAGCUUAGUUGCCAUCAUUAAGUUGGGCACUCUAAGUUGACUGCCGGUGACAAACCGGAGGAAGGUGGGGAUGACGUCAAAUCAUCAUGCCCCUUAUGAUUUGGGCUACACACGUGCUACAAUGGACAAUACAAAGGGCAGCGAAACCGCGAGGUCAAGCAAAUCCCAUAAAGUUGUUCUCAGUUCGGAUUGUAGUCUGCAACUCGACUACAUGAAGCUGGAAUCGCUAGUAAUCGUAGAUCAGCAUGCUACGGUGAAUACGUUCCCGGGUCUUGUACACACCGCCCGUCACACCACGAGAGUUUGUAACACCCGAAGCCGGUGGAGUAACCAUUUGGAGCUAGCCGUCGAAGGUGGGACAAAUGAUUGGGGUGAAGUCGUAACAAGGUAACCAAUCACGAAUUCGGAUCCGAU
rnacentral:rRNA from 1 species